UAGGGAAUCUUCGGCAAUGGGGGCAACCCUGACCGAGCAACGCCGCGUGAGUGAAGAAGGUUUUCGGAUCGUAAAGCUCUGUUGUAAGAGAAGAACGUGUGUGAGAGUGGAAAGUUCACACAGUGACGGUAACUUACCAGAAAGGGACGGCUAACUACGUGCCAGCAGCCGCGGUAAUACGUAGGUCCCGAGCGUUGUCCGGAUUUAUUGGGCGUAAAGCGAGCGCAGGCGGUUUAAUAAGUCUGAAGUUAAAGGCAGUGGCUUAACCAUUGUUCGCUUUGGAAACUGUUAAACUUGAGUGCAGAAGGCGAGAGUGGAAUUCCAUGUGUAGCGGUGAAAUGCGUAGAUAUAUGGCGGAACACCGGUGGCGAAAGCGGCUCUCUGGUCUGUAACUGACGCUGAGGCUCGAAAGCGUGGGGAGCAAACAGG
rnacentral:rRNA from 1 species